CAAUUUAUCUUUACUACAAACCUCUUUAAUCCCUUACUACUUUCAAUACAUUUACAAAUGGGUUUCAAGUUAAGAUCUUUACGAAAAGGUUUUCGUCGGGAACGGUUUUUAUCGAACGAAGUUUUAAUCGAGACGUAAUCUUUCCGCUGCACUAAUUCACCCCCUCCCCCUCUUAGUGCGCUAUUGAUCCUAACAGAGGAUGCUUGAC
rnacentral:lncRNA from 1 species